rnacentral:ncRNA from 2 species
UCCGCAUAUCAAUAAGCGGAGGAAAAUAAACUUACAAGGAUUCCCUUAGUAACUGCGAAUUAACCGGGAAUAGCCCAGCCUUAGAAUCGGUCGGCUCCGUCAUGUGAAUUGUAGUCUGGAGAAGCGUCUGCAGUGGCAGACCGGGCCCAAGUUCCCUGGAAGGGGGCGCCAGAGACGGUGAGAGCCCCAUUGUGCUCGGACCCUGUCGCACCACAAGGCGCUGUCUACGAGUCGAGUUGUUUGGGAAUGCAGCCCAUAUCGGCCGGUGAAUUCCGUCCAAGGCUAAAUACGCCCUUGGAACGUGGUUUCCUUGAUGAUGAUAUCCAGUGCACACCUCUGGCGUGCUUCGACAUCCGCACGCUCUGGACGCUGGCUUGUGGGCUCCCCAUUCUACCCGUAUUGAAACAUGGACCAAGAAGUCUGACAUGUGUACGAACUCAACGGGCGAGUAAACCCGGAAGCCAUAAGGAAGCUGAUUGGUGGGAUCCCUCUGAGGGGUGCAACGCCGAUCGACCUUGAUCUUCUGAGAAGGGUUCGAGUGUGAGCAUACCUAUCGAGACUCGAAAGAUGGUGAACUAUGGCUGAGCGGGGCAAAGCCAGAGGAAACUCUGGUGGAGUCCCGCAGCGAUACUGACGUGGAAAUCGUUUGUCUUACUUGGGUAUAGGGGCGAAAGACUAAUCGAACCGUCUAGUAGCUGGUUCCCUCCGAAAUUUCCCACAGGAUAGGUGGAGCUCGCAUGCCUGUUCUAUCAGGUAAAGCCAAUGAUUAGAGGCCUUGGGUGCGCAAUGCCCUCGGCAUAUUCUCAAACUUUGAAUAGGUAGGACGGCACGAUUGCUUUGUUGAGCCGCGCAACGGAAUCAAGUGCUCCAAGUUGGCCAUUUUUAGUAAGCAGAACUGGCGAUGCGGGAUGAACCGGAGCUGGGUUACGGUGCCAAACUACUCGCUAACCUAGAUCCCACAAAGGGUGUUGGUCGAUUAAGACAGGACGGUGGUCAUGGAAGUGGAAAUCCGCUAAGGAGUGUGUAACAACUCACCUGCCGAAUCAACUAACCCCGAAAAUGGAUGGCGCUUAAGUGCACGACCUACAACCGACCGUCGGGGCAAGUGCCAGUCCCCGAUGGUUAGGAGGGCGCGGCAGUUGUUGCAAAAACUUGGGCCUGAGCCUGGGUGGAGCGGCCGUCGGUGCAGAUUUUGGUGGUAGUAGCAAAUAUUCAAAUGAGAACUUUGAAGGCCGAAAAGGGGAAAGGCC